rnacentral:rRNA from 1 species
AGAGUUUGAUCAUGGCUCAGAUUGAACGCUGGCGGAAUGCUUUACACAUGCAAGUCGAACGGGCUUAAGGAGCUUGCUCCUUAAGUUAGUGGCGAACGGGUGAGUAAUAUAUCGGAACGUAUCCAAUAAUGGGGGAUAACUAAUCGAAAGGUUGGCUAAUACCGCAUACGCCCUACGGGGGAAAGCUAGGGACCUUCGGGCCUGGCGUUAAUGGAGCGGCCGAUAUCUGAUUAGCUAGUUGGUGGGGUAAAGGCCCACCAAGGCGACGAUCAGUAGCUGGUCUGAGAGGACGACCAGCCACACUGGAACUGAGACACGGUCCAGACUCCUACGGGAGGCAGCAGUGGGGAAUUUUGGACAAUGGGCGAAAGCCUGAUCCAGCCAUUCCGCGUGAGCGAAGAAGGCCUUCGGGUUGUAAAGCUCUUUCGCAAGGGAAGAACACUUAGUCUCUAACAUAGACUGAGGUUGACGGUACCUUGAUAAGAAGCACCGGCUAACUACGUGCCAGCAGCCGCGGUAAUACGUAGGGUGCGAGCGUUAAUCGGAAUUACUGGGCGUAAAGCGUGCGCAGGCUGUUUUGUAAGUCAGAUGUGAAAUCCCCGAGCUCAACUUGGGAACUGCGUUUGAAACUACAAGACUAGAAUAUGUCAGAGGGGGGUAGAAUUCCACGUGUAGCAGUGAAAUGCGUAGAGAUGUGGAG